UCUUUUCAUUGUUCUUUUACAGUGUUUCAUUGGCAAGCUACAAUAAUGGGACCAAAUGACAGUCCCUAUCAGGGUGGAGUAUUUUUCUUGACAAUUCAUUUCCCAACAGAUUACCCCUUCAAACCACCUAAGGUUGCAUUUACAACAAGAAUUUAUCAUCCAAAUAUUAACAGUAAUGGGAGCAUUUGUCUUGAUAUUCUACGGUCACAGUGGUCUCCAGCAC